rnacentral:rRNA from 1 species
AGUGAACGCUGGCGGCAGGCCUAACACAUGCAAGUCGAGCGGCAGCGCGUCCGACCACCCUCGGGUGGUCGGAUGGCGGCGAGCGGCGGACGGGUGAGGAAUGCAUCGGAAUCUGCCUCGUUGUGGGGGAUAACGUAGGGAAACUUACGCUAAUACCGCAUACGACCUACGGGUGAAAGUGGGGGACCUUCGGGCCUCACGCGAUGAGAUGAGCCGAUGCCGGAUUAGCUAGUUGGCGGGGUAAAGGCCCACCAAGGCGACGAUCCGUAGCUGGUCUGAGAGGACGACCCGCCACACUGGAACUGAGACACGGUCCAGACUCCUACGGGAGGCAGCAGUGGGGAAUUUUGGACAAUGGGGGCAACCCUGAUCCAGCCAUUCCGCGUGAGUGAAGAAGGCCUGGUUGUAAGACUCUUUCUAGCAGGAACGAAACGGUA